GAUGAACGCUAGCUACAGGCUUAACACAUGCAAGUCGAGGGGAAACGGCAUUAAGUGCUUGCACUUUUUGGACGUCGACCGGCGCACGGGUGAGUAACGCGUAUCCAACCUUCCCAUGACUAAGGGAUAACCUGCCGAAAGGCAGACUAAUACCUUAUGGUCUUCACUGACGGCAUCAGAUGUGAAGUAAAGAUUUAUCGGUUAUGGAUGGGGAUGCGUCUGAUUAGCUUGUUGGCGGGGUAACGGCCCACCAAGGCAACGAUCAGUAGGGGCUCUGAGAGGAAGGUCCCCCACAUUGGAACUGAGACACGGUCCAAACUCCUACGGGAGGCAGCAGUGAGGAAUAUUGGUCAACGGGCGAGAGCCUGAACCAGCCAAGUAGCGUGCAGGAUGACGGCCCUAUGGGUUGUAAACUGCUUUUGUAUGGGGAUAAAGUCAGUCACGUGUGAUUGUUUGCAG
rnacentral:rRNA from 1 species